rnacentral:rRNA from 1 species
AUGCACGCUGGCGGCGUGCCUAAUACAUGCAAGUCGAGCGAACAGACGAGGAGCUUGCUCCUCUGACGUUAGCGGCGGACGGGUGAGUAACACGUGGAUAACCUACCUAUAAGACUGGGAUAACUUCGGGAAACCGGAGCUAAUACCGGAUAAUAUAUUGAACCGCAUGGUUCAAUAGUGAAAGACGGUUUUGCUGUUACUUAUAGAUGGAUCCGCGCCGCAUUAGCUAGUUGGUAAGGUAACGGCUUACCAAGGCAACGAUGCGUAGCCGACCUGAGAGGGUGAUCGGCCACACUGGAACUGAGACACGGUCCAGACUCCUACGGGAGGCAGCAGUAGGGAAUCUUCCGCAAUGGGCGAAAGCCUGACGGAGCAACGCCGCGUGAGUGAUGAAGGUCUUCGGAUCGUAAAACUCUGUUAUUAGGGAAGAACAAAUGUGUAAGUAACUAUGCACGUCUUGACGGUACCUAAUCAGAAAGCCACGGCUAACUACGUG